GCGUCAUGCCACGUGGAUCUGCGCUGCCAAGUCUCGUGACGCUCGACAUCCUCUUCUGCUACAAUCUCAAGGCAAUUUUCUACUACAAUCUCAAAGUCGUCUUUUAGUUUCGAGCUCCCAUGUCUUCGGAGGAUACACCUCCAGGAGCUGCCCCUGCUGGAGCAUCUUCGCGACGACGACGACGACAUCCUGGCCGCGCCUGCGUGGGAGGAGCUCCAUGUCCGCGGGUGCUGGAGCUUGCGCCGCCUCCUGCGCCUCGACCGGCGACCAGGCAAGAAGGCCGUGACGGUGAGCGGGGAGCGGGCCUGGUGGACCAAGCUCCGCUGGGACGACCGGGAUGACUCGCACCGCGGCAGCUACGAGCCCAGGCUUCCCCCGGCAUCCGCCUCCAUCCGCGAGCGCGUCAUCAUCAAGACCUACCUCAGGUGAAGGAACUGAGCCAUGCCCAAGCCGCAAGCUCACCCAGUUACACAAGACCACAGCAUCCUCCGUCGCCCACUCACCCACGCCGCCACCAAUUUCAUGCGCCCGUCCAGAGUUUCACCACCAUGCUCGCCCGUCCGCGUCGAUCUCCAGUUUCCAAAUAAGAGGUUUGGUUUGUCUGCUGGCUGCUUCAUCGUCCGGCCGGCGCAUCCAGCAGGGUGACCGAAAAUACCAAAGAGUGUGACAGCAGCUCAACCAGAUUGCAGUGUUUGAUGCUUCAACGUGUGUUUUCUUUGAUCAGUUCGUGCAGUGACUUUGAUUUGCUUGUUUGCCGGUGUGAAAAUUUAGUGUCUGUUUUAGUUUGUUCGUUCCCAUUCAUAAUCAGCAAGGCCACCUCGGCGUGCUAAAUUAUAUUACUACUUGUGUGCGUUUGCUGCAGUACGUGUUGUUGAACUUGCUGUUAUUAUUUGAUUAUAUACAUAUGGAUUGAAUUGGUAUGUAACUGACGAGUCUACUUUGUGUGAAAUCAAUAAAGUUUGUUUAAUUUAAUUAA